AAGCGAACCCAGUUCUUAAGGGAUAUCGCAGCAUGUGGACUGAGGAUUAUAAAGAAAAAUUUCAAAAUGUUGCUAGAGAAUAUACUAAAUAUAACGAGUUAUCUAGAAUUUAGUUACUUAGCAAUCCAAGGUAUCUUCUCAUUAAAUAAUAUUUUAUCAACCGCCGAAAAAUAUUCAAGCUAUCAAUACUACAUCCAUCCUGAGCCAUUAACUUUAAUAUAAAAUGACUAUGAUUUGGUUUCAGAUAUCCUCUGACCAAUUGAUGUGAAAUGAAACGGAUAUCCUACUUCCAUCUCGGAAUCAACAAUUUGGCUUGGAUCAGAUUUUUGCCUCAACGGUUACCAAGUUCUUAAGGUUUUAAAAUAGUCCGAAAUAUUUGUGUAAAGGCCCACAUUUUACUGGGCUUGGCAUACAAUCCGACCCAUGAGAAGGGGGAGGGAGACUCCCGACCGGGUCUUCUCCCUCCCCUGUUUCAAACCCAUCUUCCUCCUCCCGAAUCCACCAGAAAAAAAAAAAAAAACAGAGGAAAAAGGGGGAUUAAAUCUUACCUAAAUUGAACCAAACUCCAUCUAUAAAAGAUCCCUUUCUCCUCGUCCUAGGGCAUCAACCGAGUGCCGUUCAAAAGAAAAAGGAAAGAAAAAAAAGGGGAUCCGUGAGAUUGGGUUGUUUGCCGCCGAUCUUACUGGAGGAACUCGUCGCCGGAGGUAAGGAGAAUAAUCCAUUGGACGAAAGGAUGUUGAGCGGAGUUCUGCGCAUCCCAGUUUCUAAAUCGCCGUGAGGGCGGGUGAUUAGUCUAUCUGAGUUUUUCAACAAAGGAUGAAUAAGACCACUAGGAGCAGGGAGCUUGAUGUUAUUCAGGGUUGGGAUAAUUGAAAAUGUUAUGUAAUAAUCAGAUUUUAGAAUCUCUGUACUAUUCCAACUUCUUCAAUAAUGUUAUGACAUUAGUAAAUGAAACUAUUUAUUUUUAUUAUAAAAUUU